CACACCACACCAUGUUUGCACAGGUUGACUUAACUGUGAUUGGCGGUGUCCAGAUUUCUACAACAGCGAACACGAAGGCUCUGCAGUUCUCACUUUCAGGUGGAUGCAAUGGAUGUGAUCAGAAUGAUACCAAUGGACAGUCUCCUCCCAUGACAGCAAGCUUGGUGCAGGGGAGGCCAGUUCUGCUAGUGACUCCUUCCUUAUCCUCUUGCUUGGAAAGGUUCCUUCAGGGUCUGCUGACUUCUGGGUCAGGACUGUCAAGAAGAGUGAGGAGGGAUUCUUGGAACACUCAUCCAGAAAAGGAAGGUCUCUAUCCAAUCCUCCCCUCCGGGGCUUAGGGAACCCCCACAGAAGAGGAGGCUGAGAAAACAAGGUCCUCUAAAUCAACAGGACAAAAGCUCCCAGAGGCCGAGGCAGCUUUCACAGGACCUGCACAGUUCUGCGACUGUAUUGUGGCUUCCAGGGAGCAGCCGGUGCUGACUCAUGUGAACUGAACUGCUGAUAUCCUGGCAACAAAGACUGGAAUUGCCCCAAAGAACUAUUUCUAAUCAGGAUACAGCAGAGAAAGCAGUACAUCCAGCCAGGAACAGCACUACAGCAGGUAGUAAUCAUCAGCAACAUGAGCGAAGGUCCACAUCCAACGAAGAAGGAACAGGAAUAUUGCAGGUGAUACAGGACACACAGGCAGUCGUCCAUCUGUACUACAAUGAGAAGAGAGGCAUGCGGAGAAAACUGAAGACUCGUCUUUAUCAAGUACCUGUCAUAAUCACCCCUAUUCACUGUGAGGAGGAAUCACAUCAUUUCCAGUGGCCAUUCCUUCCAACGAAAUCAAUGGGUCUUCUGCCUACAUUCACAUCAGUGAACCAUUUUCAUGCCUCGUGCCUGAGGAGACCAGAGGUGGAUGCCAGAUCCCACGGGACUAGAGCUGCCAUGAAGGUGCUGGGAAUUGAACCAGGGUCCUCUGGAAGAGUAGCCAGUGCUCUUGACUGCUGAGACAUCUCUCUAGUGCCUAUGAAACAGACUCUUAAUCAACUGAGAUUGGUUGAAGCUGUUCUGAGCAGUUCUUGCUUGACCUCUUGAAAUAGGGAGAGUUACAGAAGCACAUGUCUUUAGACGGCCUGGAUACCUGGGUUAAGAAUGCUGUUUAAGCUUGUGUAGGUUUGAAUAAAAGUGACCCCCUGCAUGUGCAUGUUUGAGUGCUUAGUCAUCAAAGGAUGACACAAUGUGCGAAGGAUUAGAGGAAUUAGGAGGCGUGACCUUGUUGGAAGGGUGUGGCCUUGUUGGAGGAAGGGGCUGGGCUUUGAGGUCUCAGAUGCUCAAACCAGGCCCAGGCCCAGUACCUCUCUCUUGGCCUGAGGAUCAGGAUGUAGGUCUAUUAUUGCCCCAUUGCUAUGACUGCUGCCAUGUUCCCACUGUG